GACGAACGCUGGCGGCGUGCUUAACACAUGCAAGUCGAACGGAAAGGCCCUGCUUUUGUGGGGUGCUCGAGUGGCGAACGGGUGAGUAACACGUGAGUAACCUGCCCUUGACUUUGGGAUAACUUCAGGAAACUGGGGCUAAUACCGGAUAGGAGCUCCUGCUGCAUGGUGGGGGUUGGAAAGUUUCGGCGGUUGGGGAUGGACUCGCGGCUUAUCAGCUUGUUGGUGGGGUAGUGGCUUACCAAGGCUUUGAAGGGUAGCCGGCCUGGGAGGGUGGCCGGCGACAUGGGGACUGCGAUACGGCCCAGCAGCCUACGGGAGGCAGCAGUGGGGAAUAUUGCACAAUGGGCGGGAGCCUGAUGCAGCAACGCCGCGUGCGUGAUGACGGCCUUCGGGUUGUAAACCGCUGUCGCCUGUGACGAAGCGUGAGUGACGGUAAUGGGUAAAGAAGCACCGGCUAACUACGUG
rnacentral:rRNA from 1 species